AUGGUGUGCGCGCCUGAGAGCGCGACCAUGUCGACCGUGUUAAGGUUCUUCUUGAGGAACGCGGCCUCGAGCUGUGACCGGCUGGAGCCAGGGCCUGGGAGGUCGCUGUUCGCCAGCGCCGCACUUGCGGUGGUGGAGUCCCGUCUCCCAAGUGGAACAGUCCAUGACGGCCCUCCAAGUGCUAAGAUGAUUUUACGGCGACGACGGAGUCGCGGGCGGCGACGGUGA
rnacentral:rRNA from 1 species